ACCCAAACACACACAGCCACACCAUCUGGCUCUCAGGUUGCCAGUUUUCUCCCUUGGAUUAGACAAGUUUUCAACCUGUCAGGCUUCUUCUACCUGUGACAUCUACAAGUUUAUGGCUAACUGACCCCUUACCAUGUUGGUCUUCUCUGAGCAUCCUGCUGUUUGCAGUUUACCUGCACUUUGGCUUCCAUUCUGAAAUGUGAUGAAAUGUGUAUGUUAUCCCUCAUUUUGCCUUUAUGCACUUCACCCUCCUAGCUCUCUUCUUAUGGUGUGUUGUUCCCAUCCUGUAGCAAUUUCAUUCUCAUGAUAUAAAAAACAGAACCUGUUUUUUACAGGAAUAUCUGCUUGUUCUGACAAGGAUUCUCAAGAGGACUCCACUUAAUUCAAAGGCUUCAGAAGCAAAGGAGGAGAAGAGGAGGCAAGCAGAUGAACAGUGCAGCAGAGAAAAAGAGAAGAGAAGGAAUGUCUGAACGACAAGAGGAAUUCAGCUGGGGGGCAGUCAGAGAGGAAUUCAGCUGCUGGACAGCCAAACUCCAGGGGAAGAUCACCUUCCCACUCCAUCCACCUUUCAGCUCCCCAUCCAUCCCACUGAGAGCCACCUCCACCACUCAAUAAAACCCCUACAUUCAUCCUUCAAGUUCAUGUGUGGUCUGAUUCUUCUGGGAUGCUGGACAAGAGCUCGGGAUAUAGAAAGCCAUCACACAGGUCCUCUGCCUUUGCAGAAGGGCAGUGGGGGCACUGAGCUGG
rnacentral:lncRNA from 10 species